UCCCUGUGUUUGGCUAGCUAGUAGUAAGAAGACAGUCUGAGAACUCAAAGAAGCCUUCGGCGGGUCAGAAUAUGCAUAAGGGAACUCAACGACUCUUUUAAGAAUUGGAUAAGAAUUGGCUAAAUCAGUUGUCGGCUUGGAAUCUAUUGAAACGAAUGGGUGCCAAAUUUUUUGUUGGGUGGUUGCUGACUGUAAGGGUUUUCUGCUUCUGUGGCUAUUGGCUGCAACUUUGAAGUAGCGUUUUCUCAACUUCUGGUGCUUGGAGUGCUGAGAUAUUUUGGGGUUCUUAGUUGUUGGUCAUACCGUGCCUUUGAUCCGAGUUGGUGCUUGAUCUGCCCUGUAAAUAGGAAACUACUGGUGGUUACUAAAUGCUGUUAUCUAGUUUCUAUUCUGUUGGGUUGAUGAAAUGUGAAUUCUGGUAAUUGGUUCAAGUUGAUUCUUACAUAUUGUGUUUAAUAUGAUGGUUCUUUAUGAUGAUUGGAGAAUUUGAUGUUUGUUAUGCUGUAUGGUUGUGAAGUUAUAGCUUUUUUUUCUAAUUUUGGAGCUCAGUUUCUUUCCUUAUUCACUUGCCCAAACCCUUAUAUCCAACCAUUGAAUUGGAAUAGAACUUUCAGGUUUGAAGUACUAGUGGAGACCUAGUUUCUGUAGUAAUUUGGGACUGAUCUAAGUUCUAUUUUUGGGAGUUGUUGAAGAUCUCCUACUGUUGUUUUGAGUUCCUAUGAUUCUGCUUACGGGUGGGACUUUCAAAUUUACUUUGGUGCUAGAUUUAAAUCCGCUAAAACCACUUCAAAAACUCAAAAUUUUCCUUCAAUUGUGUAUGUUCCUAUCCUUACUCUCAAAAUAUGAAUCUUGCUGCUGUUUUGAGUUCCUAUGAUUCUGCUUGUGUGUGGGAUUUUCAAAUUUACUAUGGUGUUAGAUUUGGAUCCAUUAAAACCACUUGAGAAAACUAAAAAAUUCCAUUCAAUCUUGUAUGUAGCUAUCCUUACUCUCAAAAUAUGAAUUGUACUGCUGCUAAAACUUCCCUAGCGAGAACGUGUGUCUCAGUUGGAAGUUGAAACAGUAAAGAAAGAGAUUGAGAUAUCCUUAUAGUGAUCAUAAUAGGGCUCCCCACUAGAAAAAAAGGGGAAAAAAAGAGAACAAGGUGGGAGUGCAAUGACUGCUGAAAAUUCAAACUCUGAUCAAAAGAAGGUAAGAAGGGGGAAAUCAAAUUAAAAUAAUAUGAGAAAGGCAUUUCAGUUCAAUUUCUUUGUUCAUCACAUCUGCUCUUUAGCGUGUUUCGUUAGUUUUCUUUUCUUGGAUUGUCAGUAGAGAGAUUAUUGUUUGAGAUCUAGGUUCUGGAGAGACGAUAAUGGCAGAACAGAAGAAAUGGAGCUGGGAGGUCCCUGGAUUCGAACCUUAAAAGUCAUUUGGGUGUCAAGAUCAUAAGCCUGUUCCUCUGAUUAGGAGGUUCUCGAUUUCAACAUCAUUGAUUCUGUCACAGUCUGACUCCCCAAAGAAAGUUUUAGCUACCAAAGUCUAGAAAUUGAAGGCAAAAGUGGAGGAAAACACUUGUUUAUGAUUCUUCUGUGUAUCUUAUGGAGGGAUUUAGUUGUGUUGUUGUGGUAGUCAUCCAACUAUCCAAGUAGGUUACUGUCUGAGAGAUUUUUUUUUCUGUCACAAGUGAGUUCUGUUGUUUCUUGUGGCUUGAGAGGAAGAACAUAUUUGCUCGGUGUGAAAGUUUUGAAGUAACAUUGAUAGUGCCUGCAAUGGACAAUGUGAGAUGCUCUCUACAUUGAGUAGCUGGUGUUGAGGAUUAUUGGCUAUUACAAGGUAGACAGGCUUAGCUUGUGAAUGAUUGAAUGCUGUUGCCGUUUCGGCUGAUGGAAACAGUAAUCGUUUUAUCUUGUGAACACUUACUGGAGUUGAUGGAGAAAUAAGGGACUUGCUAGAAUAAGCUGAUCUGCUGUUGAAAAGCAGAAUCUUGAUGAACAGGACCAGUAGGAAAAUGGAGAAGAAUGAAAAUACAAGAAUUAUGCAAAUAUUGGCAGUUCUAUAUUGCCAUACUGAUUUAAUGUUGUCAUUACAUCUUCCAACGUGUUUAACUAAAUGACUUGUUUCUCAGAUUUACAGCAGUUUUACAUUUAGCAUGUUAAUAUAUUGGCAAGAGCAAUUUUGAUUUUUACAAAAAAACCUUGAUAACUAAAUUCUGUUACCUCUGUUUGAAUCUCAUGAUUAUUCUGCGUUAUAAAAAUUAAUAAGUACUAAAUUUUGUUACCAAACCAAUUGUUGGAACUUUUCUAAUGGUUCUUCGGCAUCUUCCCUUACACCUGGAAAGUGGUAUAUUUUGGAUGCAUUCCCUUUGUAGACUAUUCUUUAGUUUGUUAACUUAGUGGCUUAGCAUAUUGAACUCUGCAAAAGUGGUUGAUUAUUAGAUAUUGCAUUAUUGUCUGAUGUUUGGUUAAUUAUGGAAGUCAUCUGGGGUGAGUUUCAAUACGUUCAUGUGAAGAAUGACAUUAGUAAUGUCUAUAUGGGGAUAUUUUUCCUUAUAAAUAUUGCAUUCAGUGUAUUGCUUGGUUCAAUUAUCUUAAGAUCUUGGAAAGUGGAAACUUAGUUUGAAUUUUUGAAGCUUUAGGUUUAUAGUAUUUAGAGGGCGAGCCUUGGUGCAAUGGUACUGUUGGUCUAUUGCCAUCUGGUGGUAGCGGGUUCAAGUCUAGGAAACAGCCUCUGCGCGAAGCCGGGGUAAUGCUUUGUAUGUCUACCCCUUCCCAGACCCUACAGUAGCGGGAGCCACAUGCAUUGGGACCCUUUUUAUGCUUCUAUUAUUUCCACUAUGUCAUUCUGAUUUUCCUUCUGAAUCAUUGCUUAUUUUUAGUGAUUGGUCCCUCCAUAUUUGAAUUGAUGACGAUCACUUUUUUAUAUUAAUGUGUCUGCUUCAUAUUUUUGCAUUAUCGACACAUUGUAUUUUCUGUUGAAUCUGAAGGUACCUAUUUAUCUCACAUAUUUUCUUCUCUUAGCAGUUAUGGUCUUAAUUGUUAUCUUGUAUUUGGGUGAUUUUAAAGUUGACCUAUGCAUAAGUGCUACCUCAUUUUAGAUUAAGUUGCGCUUGAGGCUGAAGCUAGAAUUUCGCCACUGGUCGAUACGAAGAAAAGGGUGUUCAAUGACCUGUUUAUUGCUAAAGGCUACUUUUAAUGGAUAUGGUGCACUGAAGAUGAAGGCCCAUUAAUAGUUGAGUUUACCUAAUGAUUUCACCAUCCGUAUUAGCACUGGUCUUGAUUCUUUCUCCAACUAAAAGAAGGAAUUCGAAUUUGAUAGGGUGUAUGGACCGCAUGUUGGGCAAGGUUAGACUUGAGAGAACAUCAGUUUCUUUUUCUUCGUAACCUCUAUUUCCAUAAUUCCUCUUUUGUUUUCAACUCAAGUAUUAUCUAUGUUACUUGCAGGCUGCAGCUAAUAUAGGAUUUUCAGUAUAUUGAUUGUGUGAAAAUAUUAUGCAGGGGAGCUCUUCCAUGAUGUUCAGCCAUUUGUGCAGUCAAUUUUGCAUGGCUAUAAUGUUUUUAUAUUUGCUUAUGGGCUAACUCGUUCUGGAAAGACACAUGCCAUGGUCUCUCUUUCACUCAGUCUUGCUUUGGGUUUCCAGGGUCUCCCGGGUGCUGUUAUCUUAUGUUGUCUAUGUGUUUGAGGCAUCUAUGCCAUGCAUCUUGGCUUAUUCUGACCAAACCUGUCUUGCAGGAAGGAUCUAGUUAUGAUCGUGUUUUGUAUGUUCGAUAUUUUUACCCUUUAUUUUCAUCAACAAUCUUAUUAAAGCUAGGGUAUAAUGUGAAAAAACAAAAAUACCUAAGUCGGUUGGUUACAUUCAAAACAGCCCGCCCUCUUUAGCAGAUGUUCUUCGAUAUUUAAUAACUUUCUCUUUUUCUCAGCAAGUACUUCUUGCUCUGGUUUAAUAAAUCUUCAUCUUGCUUGGGACGCUUUUUUGAUCUUCUUAGGCAAUGUUUGAAGGGAUGUUUCGUCACUCUCAUUUGGUUUGGGACGCUAUUUUGAUCUUCUCAGGCGAUGUUUGAAGGGAUGUUUCGUCACUCACAUCUGGUUUGGGAUGCUUUUUUUUAAUCUUUUCAUGCAAUGUUUGAAGGGCUCAGUUGUUGCAAGUGGCGAUUGUAAAUAACUUUCUCUCUCUUUCUUGGCCAUCUCUCUUAGGCAACAAGCCUUAAGAGGUAAGAAUUAAGAAGAGGUUCUAUGGCAAUCCCAGAAGAGCUUAUGAAAUUCAAGUAUCAUUUCAUUGACGGAACUAUUGUUUCACUUGUAUUCCUGUUGCUUGUCCUACUUGCGCCCAGAUUUGUAGAUGUGAUCGUUUACUUUUGGCAUCUCUUCCUCUCCACAGCCAUGUUUCUCACUGUUGACGUCAUCUUUGGUUGGUUAUAUUCGAUGGAACCUGAAUUUUGCAGGGAGAAAAGAUCUUAGAUUAUGUUGCCGGACAACCGGAACAGGUGGAGGAAGUGGAAGAGGAGAGUUAGGAGACCCCAAAAUCUGAGAAAUCUGAGAGUAAAGAAAUGGGUUUCGAAUCACAAGUUUCAGAUGAGUAAAAUCAAACCCUAUUUCUCUUUUCUUUCUUUCAUACUCUGUAACUUUCUCUCUUUAUUUCCAAGCCGAUCAUACUGCUCUCUCCUUCUUGUCUGUUUCAAGAGCAUGGUUGUCCCUGUUCUUACAACAAACCUUCAUUUGGUGUGGAUCUUCUCAGUGGUUCAUCGUGAUGUUUGGAGGGCUGGUUCGUCGGUUACUGCUGGGAUUUCUCAGCCAAAGAAAUCCAGAACGAUCAACUCAAGAUCUGCUUAUGGAACGUAACAUCGAGCGUUUCUGCAAUCUCCUUUUCUUUGGACUUUACUCAUAGGAGUUCAAACAGCCCUUUCUUGAUCAAACUUUUUAUUCACCUUAAAAAAUAAAAGAUAUUCUAGAAUGUCUGUGGGGUUUUGCACGUGAUGGAUUAAUAGCCCCAAAACAGAACAUUUUCUCAUGAUUUUUUUUUUUUUUUGGUUUAUAUAAUAGGACUUGAAAACUUCCAAAGAUAACAUGAAAUGAUUAAAACCAUAUUAUACAGUUUAAUUUUAAUUUGUAUUAUGCACAUGCUCGGCCUUUGACAUUUCUUUAUUUUCUUUGCAGUCCCUAUGUUUGGCUAGCUGGUAAUAAGAAGACGGUCUAAGAACUCAAAGAAGCCGUGGGCGGGUCAGAAUAUGCAUAAGGGAACUUAACGACUCUUUUAAAAAUUGGAUAAGAAUUGGCUAAAUCAGUUGUCGGCUUGGAAUCUAUUGAAACCAAUAGGUGCCAAAUUUUUUGUUGGGUGGUUGCUGAAUGUAAGGUUUGGACUAUCAAUUAGCUGGUAUAUGAUUGGCAUCAUUCUCUCCUACAACUGUGUUCUACCUAAUGUUUACUUUUGUGCAUACAACUCAUUUUGCGGUACUAACAAAAUCUUUGGACUGAUGGUUAUGACUUGCUUCUUUGAUUUACAGCAGUUUUACAUUUUCACAUUAAUAUAUUGGCAAGAGCCAUAUUGAUUUUUACAAAAGCAUUGAGAACUAGAUUCUGUUACCUCUAUUUGAAUCUCAGGAAUAUUCUGUGUUAUGAAAAUGAUUAAGAGCUAAAUUUUGUUACCAAACCAAUUGUUGGAACUCUUCUAAUGGUUCUUCUGCAUCUCCCCUUACACCUGAAAAGUGGUAUAUUUUGGAUGCACUCCCCUUAUAGACUUUCUUUAGUUUGUUAACUUAGUGGCUUAGCAUAUUAAACUCUGCAGGAUUGGUUGAUUAUUACAUACUGCAUUAUUGUCUAAAGUGGUUUAUUAUGGAAGUCAUCUGGGGUGAGUUUCCAUACGUUCAUGUGAAGACUGACAUUGGUCAUGUCUGUAUGGGCAUAUUUUCCAUUAUAAAUAUUGCAUUCAGUGUACUGCUUAGUUCAAUUAUCUCAAGAUCUUGGAAAGUGGAAAAUUAGUUUGAAUUUUUUAAGCUUUAGGCUUCUAGUAUUUAGAGGGCGAGCCUUGGAUCAACGGUGGGGUUGUUCUAUUGCCACCAGGUGGAAGCGGGUUCAAGUCAAGGAAACAACCUCUGCGCGAAGCCGGUUUGUAUGCAUGUCCCUUCCCAGACCCUGCAGUAGCGGGAGCCUUGUGCACUGGGACCCUUUUUAUGCUUCUAUUAUUUCCACUGUGUCAUUCUGAUUUUCCUUCUGAAUCAUUCCUUAUUUUUAGUGGCUGUUCCCUCCAUAUUGCAAUUGAUGACGAUCACUUCUGUAUGUGAAUAUGUCUCUGCUUCAUAUUUUUGCAUUAUCAACAUCUUGUAUUUUCUGUUGAAUCUGAAGGUACCUAUUUAUCUCACAUAUUUUCUUCCCUUAACAAUUAUGGUCUUAAUUGUUAUCUUGUAUUGGAUUUUAAGUUUGACCUAUGCAUAAGUGCUACCCCAUUUCAGAUCGAGUUGCGCUUGAAGCUGAAGAUAGAAUUUCGCCACUGGUCAAUGAGAAGAAAAGGUUGUUCAAUGACCUGUUUACUGCUAAAGGAAAUAUAAAAGUAUUUUGCUGUACACGGCCCUAUUUGAAGAUGAAGGUUCAUCAAUAGUUGAGUUUCCUAAUGAUUUCACCAUCCGUAUUAACACUGGUGUUGAUUCUUUAUCCAAUCCAAAAAUGGACUUCGAAUUUGAUAGGGUGUAUGGAUUGCAAUGUUGGGCAAGGGGAGCUCUUCCAUGAUGUUCAGCCAUUUGUACAGUUAGCUUUGGAUGACUAUACUGUUUCUAUAUUUGCUUAUGGGCAAACUCGUUCUAGACAAACACAUACCAUGGUCCCUCUUUCACUCAGUCUUGCUUUGGCUCCCUGGAGACUCCUGGGUGCUGUUAACUUAUGUUGUCUAUGUGUUUGAGGCAUCUAUGCCAUGCAUCUUGGCUUAUUCUGACCAAACCUGUCUUGCAGGAAGGAUCUAGUUAUGAUCGUGGUCUGCAUGUUCGAAGUUUUGAGGAGCUGUUUGAUUUAUCCAACUCAGAUACAACUUCUGCUAUUCGGUUUAAUUUUUAUUUACAAUAGUUGAGCUCUACAAUGAACAGGAUUAUCACUAUUCAUAUACACUACAACAAUUAGAUCACAAGGGAAAAUUUGAACAACAAGCUUUCUCUUGUUUGGCGGGAAGUGAAGGUUUGAUGGUGGAAGAUGCUAGUGGAGAACAUGUAACGGAGUUUCUGCAUGUGACCAGUUCACUCUCAGCGUGAGUUUGUGGAACCAUGAGCUGGUAUUCCUUUCUACUCAUUGGACUCUAAUUGGUGAUUUACGCAGUGGAGAAUGCAGUCCUUAUUGGAGUGCCUCUAUUUGGAUUCUUGAAUUCUACAAAUUUCCCAAAAGAUAGUCUAAUAACGAAUACGGGCUUGGACACGGGUGGAGAUCUUACUGAUAUUUCUUGUUCUCCCUUUUUUUAAUUCAUUUAUUUUUGUACUUGCUAGAAUGGAGUCAAAAUUUGGUUUAGGUUGUUUAUCGUACUCUGUUUAAGUUGGUUUCUGCAUAUAGGCAAACUAAGGGGAAGCAGGGAGACCAUAAAAGAUUAAAUUUUAUUUUUCUGGUCUAGCUCAUGUUCAUCUGUUGCAAACAUUCCACUUUGGUUGUGGUGUUGAUUAUGAUAAGGAGAAAUGGGAGUAUGUAUGUAAAGAUUAUUAAUACCUUUGUAGGCCAUUUGGUUGUGUUGAUUAUGAUAAGGAGUAAUGGGAGUAUGCAGGUAAGACUAUUAAUACCUUUGUUGGCCAUUUUUAUUUUCAAUAGGCCUGCAUUUGUCAGUGCAAGCAAGUGCUUUGGGAAUUCAAUGUAGCCUUGAUUACUUAAAA